GAUGAACGCUGGCGGCGUGACUAAUACAUGCAAGUCGAGCGAACGGACGAGAAGCUUGCUUCUCUGAUGUUAGCGGCGGACGGGUGAGUAACACGUGGAUAACCUACCUAUAAGACUGGGAUAACUUCGGGAAACCGGAGCUAAUACCGGAUAAUAUUUUGAACCGCAUGGUUCAAAAGUGAAAGACGGUCUUGCUGUCACUUAUAGAUGGAUCCGCGCUGCAUUAGCUAGUUGGUAAGGUAACGGCUUACCAAGGCAACGAUGCAUACCCGACCUGGAAGGUGAUCCGCCCACACUGAAAUGGAGCCACGGCCCAGCCCCCACGGGGGGCCGGCGGUGGGAAUUCUGCCGAAAUGGGGGAAAGCCUGACGGGCCACGCCCGGUGAGGUAAGAAGGUCUUCGGAUCGGAAAAACCUUUUUUUUGGGAAAAAACAUUUGUGAAGUAACUUGGCCCCCUCUGAACGUACCCAAUCCAAAAACCCCCGCCAACUCCCGU
rnacentral:rRNA from 1 species